AAUGGUUUUCAAGUUGUCGGUGCAGGAUAUGACUCAUGUGCUCUUGUAAUGGUCUGUACUUUAAGAACAGGGUCGGGAAAUAGUGAAUGUUUCAGAACUUUUUUUUUCAUUUUCUACCAUAGGAAACUUAAUUUGUUUUGUGACAGGAUACUACUGUCAGUGGGAAAGAGAACCAUGAUCAAGAGAUAAGUUGCAUCGUAGACACAAUGUUACUCUGUUCAAUAUUGAUGUCUUUUCUGUUCGCAUAGUGUUAACCUUAGUCGAAAUUUCUAGCUCAUGACAAAUAUUUAUUGUACCUUUAAAUGGUUAUUUAAGCAAGAAUAUAUGAGCUUACUGUCCUAGAAUGACCUACAUUCCAUCCACCUUGGUCAUCCAGAUUCAGCUCUGAUGAUGCUAAGGAGGUAGUCCAUUACCAAACAAUCUCACCAAAGAGCUUAGCUAAAUCUGUUCUCGAGGAAGGUGGCUGGUCAAACUUCAUGUGCUCAAGGGAGGAUACUCAGAAUAAUGUUGAUGUUGCCAUUGUUUUUAUUGGCUCAAAGCUGCAAUCGUCAGACAUAUCUAAAGAUAAGCAAGUUGAUCCAGCUUUAGCAGACACACUGAAGGUAAUCAUAGGAACUCAUCUCUCUCAGAUACUGUUCUAUAUGCAUGGUACUUGAGUUAUUCUGCGCUACUACUGACACUACUAAAUUGGAGCCUUGGAGUCUGGAG